CUACUUCUUUAAAAGACCAAGCAAGAGGCUGUGUAUGUAUAAAAUUUUGCUCGCCCAUCCUUUCCAUGAAACAUUUGUGAUUUAAGCUUUAAGAAUCUUUGUGGGAUGAUUCUCCCCUCUUCCCAUUGCAAUAGACUUCUUAAUAAAAUGUUUUCAAGUUCCUGUCCAGAUUGGAUGACUUACUAUAGUGGUAAUGGUGCCAUGAUUUGAACAAAAUUCUGGCUGCCCCUCAACUGUUGUUUUUCUUCAACUUGCUGUGAUUGGACAGUAUGCUGACUUCCAGCCUGCUCUCUUCAGGCAAGUGGUGGUGCUGUCUCGUUAAACUCUUUGAAACCUGACUUGGAAAGCAAAAUCAAAAAUGGUCCAGCAACAGGCCCAAAUUGGAAUCCAGCUCAAGGGGAGGCCCCACGGCCGGACAAUAUUAUUGAUGCUAUGGUGUGCUCACAAAAAAAGGAGACCUAUCAUGACUGCCCUCUGAAAGAUCCAACAAGCAGCUGAAAGAGUCAGAUGCAGAUAUUUACACUCAACCAAUGGACAGAAGCUGCUAACCCCUGUGGUUGAAUUAGAGAAAUGCUGGAAGAAGCUGAGGAGAAGGGCAAUCCUUUAGGAAGACUAGCAGACUCAACUAACCUGGAUCCAACAUCUCUCACAUGCUGAGCCACCAACCAGGCAGUAUACAUCAGCUGAUAUGAGGCCCCCAACACAUAUACAGCAGAGGACUGCCAGGUCUGUACUCAGAGAAGAAGCACCUAACCCUCAAAAAACUGGAGGCCCAUUUUUCUAUCUGGGGUCUCUCUGAGGUGGGUCCUUGCAGGAGAACACACGGGCCGCAGAAGCAACAGAGCUUCUUGGACAGAGGCCCUUCUGGCCUUCAUCCUCAGCCAGGAGGUAGAGCUGAUCCUCAGUCCUCUGUGCACCUUUCCUGCCAGGGGAGAGUUGGUCUCCAGGGAGUGCUCUGACUCCUGGACUCAGGAGAUAGCUAGUCUCCCAGGAGUGCUGACAGAGGCUAAAAGACUCACAGAAGGAACAAGCUCCAGCCAGAGACAUCUAGAACAUCUAACACCAGAGAUUACCAGAUGGUGAAAGGCAAAUGUAAGAAUCUUACCAACAGAAACCAAGACAACUAGGCAUCAUAAGAACCCAGUACUACAACCACAGCGAGUCCUAGAUACCUCAACACAUCAGAAAAAGCAAGAUUCAGAUUUAAAAUCAUAGCUCAUGGUGCUGGUAGAAGAUUUUAAGAAGGACAUUAAUUACUCCCUUAAAGAAAUACAGGAGAACACAGGUAAACAGGUAGAAGUCCUUAAAGAGGAAACACAAAACUCCCUUAAAGAAUUACAGGAAAAUACAACCAAACAGCUGAAGGAAUUGAACAAAACCGUCCAAGAUAAAACUGAAAGUAGAAACAAUAAAGAAAACCCAAAGGGAGACAACUCUGGAGAUAGAAAUCCUAGGAAAGAAAUCAGGAGCCAUAGAUGUGAGCAUCACCAACAGACUACAAGAGAUGGAAGAGAGAAUCUCAGGUGCAGAAGAUUCCAUAAAGAACAUGGACACAACAAUCAAAAAAAAUGUAAAAUGCAAAAUGAUCCUAACUCAAAACAUCCAGGAAAUCCAGGACACGAUGAGAAGACCAAACAUAAGGAUAAUAGGAGUAGAUGAGAAUGAAGAUUUUUCAACUUAAAGGGCCAAUAAAUAUCUUCAACAAAAUUAUAGAAGAAAACUUCCCUAACCUAAAGAAAGAGAUGCCCAUGAACAUACAAGAAGCCUACAGAACUCCAAAUAGUUUGGACUAGAAAGGAAAUUCCUCCCAUCACAUAAUGAUCAAAACACCAAAUGCACAAAACAAAGAAAGACUACUGAAAGCAGUAGACAACAAUCUUUAAUGAAAGUAUAAAUAAAGGAGCAUUUGGAACGACGAAGUUA
rnacentral:lncRNA from 1 species